UACGUAGGGUGCAAGCGUUAAUCGGAAUUACUGGGCGUAAAGCGUGCGCAGGCGGUUUCGUAAGUCUGUCGUGAAAUCCCCGGGCUUAACCUGGGAAUGGCGAUGGAGACUGCGAGGCUAGAGUUUGGCAGAGGGGGGUAGAAUUCCACGUGUAGCAGUGGAAUGCGUAGAGAUGUGGAGGAACACCGAUGGCGAAGGCAGCCCCCUGGGUCAAAACUGACGCUCAUGCACGAAAGCGUGGGGAGCAAACAGG
rnacentral:rRNA from 1 species